AUCAACAUCCCUUCAGUCAAAGUGGUGUACGAGGAUCAUCGUACCUAUGCAUCCCAAGCAGCUAUUCAUGUCAAAGAAAGUCUGUGGCGGUCAUUAGAGGAAGACAUGAUUCCAACAUUGUCAAGUAAGAGUAAUUGGCUGGAAUUGCAAUCUAAAAUGUUGCCAAAAAAGUUAAGAGAAUCAAAUAUUUGUGUUGCUGGGGAGGCUAUUGGGAUAACCAUUGAAUUCAAAAAUCCACUUCAAAUACCUAUUUCAAUAUCUGGUGUUACCCUAAUUUGCGAACAUUCUCCAGCAGUAUCUGAACCGAAUGCAAAUAAUUCAAUUGGUGAGCAAAAUGGUGAGACAUCAAACAAAUCAGCCACUAGUGGGAAUUGUGCUUCUGAUACAUCUUCAUUUACAUUAUCGGAGGCUGAUGUUGCCUUAGGAGAAGGUGAAACAGUAUUGGUUCAGCUAACAGUUACUCCAAGAGCAGAAGGUACUCUCAAAAUAGUUGGUAUAAGGUGGAAGCUGUCAGGUUCACUGGGAGGAUUUUGUACUUUUGCUUCCGACUUAGUCAGAAAGAAAGUUAUGAAAGGAAACAGGAAAUCUAAACGAUCUACAUUCGAUAACCUGAAGUUCUUAGUCAUAAAGAGUUUACCAAAGCUUGAGGGCUUCAUUCAUCACCUCCCGGAAACAGUUUAUGUUGGUGAUUUGCGGUGUAUCGCUCUGGAGUUGAAAAAUCCAUGUAAAAUUCCAGUAAAAAAGUUGAAGAUGAAGGUCAGUCCGCCUAGGUUUCUCCAAAUUGGACACAAGGAAGAUCUGGAAGUUCAGUUUCCUGCUUGCUUGGAAAGAAAAAGUUCAAAACAAAGGUCUUUGAGGUCGAAGACUGAUAAAGUAUCAGAUGACAUUUUUUCAUUUCCCGAGGACACAUCAAUUGCAGAUGGAACUCCAAUCUCAUGGCCUCUCUGGCUUAGGGCUGCUGCUCCCGGGAAAAUAUCUUUAUAUUUAUCAGUAUACUAUG
rnacentral:misc_RNA from 1 species